UACGGAGGGGGCUAGCGUUGUUCGGAAUUACUGGGCGUAAAGGGCGCGUAGGCGGCAAUUCAAGUCAGCUGUGAAAUCUCCGGGCUUAACUCGGAACGGUCAGCUGAUACUGCUUUGCUAGAGUGCAGAAGGGGCAAUCGGAAUUCUUGGUGUAGCGGUGAAAUGCGUAGAUAUCAAGAGGAACACCUGAGGUGAAGACGGGUUGCUGGGCUGACACUGACGCUGAGGCGCGAAAGCUAGGGUAGCAAACGGG
rnacentral:rRNA from 1 species